GAUGAACGCUGGCGGCGUGCCUAAUACAUGCAAGUCGAGCGAACGGACGAGAAGCUUGCUUCUCUGAUGCUAGCGGCGGACGGGUGAGUAACACGUGGAUAACCUACCUAUAAGACUGGGAUAACUUCGGGAAACCGGAGCUAAUACCGGAUAAUAUUUUGAACCGCAUGGUUCAAAAGUAAAAGACGGUCUUGCUGUCACUUAUAGAUGGAUCCGCGCUGCAUUAGCUAGUUGGUAAGGUAACGGCUUACCAAGGCAACGAUGCAUAGCCGACCUGAGAGGGUGAUCGGCCACACUGGAACUGAGACACGGUCCAGACUCCUACGGGAGGCAGCAGUAGGGAAUCUUCCGCAAUGGGCGAAAGCCUGACGGAGCAACGCCGCGUGAGUGAUGAAGGUCUUCGGAUCGUAAAACUCUGUUAUUAGGGAAGAACAUAUGUGUAAGUAACUGUGCACAUCUUGACGGUACCUAAUCAGAAAGCCACGGCUAACUACGUG
rnacentral:rRNA from 1 species